rnacentral:rRNA from 1 species
ACUCCUACGGGAGGCAGCAGUGGGGAAUAUUGGACAAUGGGCGCAAGCCUGAUCCAGCCAUACCGCGUGGGUGAAGAAGGCCUUCGGGUUGUAAAGCCCUUUUGUUGGGAAAGAAAUCCAGCUGGCUAAUACCCGGUUGGGAUGACGGUACCCAAAGAAUAAGCACCGGCUAACUUCGUGCCAGCAGCCGCGGUAAU